AAAUAUUUUGUAGUUGUGGUUGUAACAAUUUGUCGCAUAGUGAAUAUUUUUCUUGGUUGUCGUUUGGCAACGGUCGUGGUUUUUCUCCACUUGGGGAGUUUUCCACGUUAAAUUAUCGUGUUAUUUAUUCUCUUUAAUUUCUCAGUUAUUAUUUUAUUUUCUCAUUUGUUCUUGCUUGAAGCCGGUCCGAAGGGUGGGAAAAUAGCGA
rnacentral:lncRNA from 1 species